rnacentral:rRNA from 1 species
UACGGAAGGUCCGGGCGUUAUCCGGAUUUAUUGGGUUUAAAGGGAGCGUAGGCCGGAGAUUAAGCGUGUUGUGAAAUGUAGAUGCUCAACAUCUGAACUGCAGCGCGAACUGGUUUCCUUGAGUACGCACAAAGUGGGCGGAAUUCGUGGUGUAGCGGUGAAAUGCUUAGAUAUCACGAAGAACUCCGAUUGCGAAGGCAGCUCACUGGGGCGCAACUGACGCUGAAGCUCGAAAGUGCGGGUAUCGAACAGG